UACGGAGGGUGCAAGCGUUAUCCGGAUUCACUGGGUUUAAAGGGUGCGUAGGCGGUUUGGUAAGUCAGUGGUGAAAUCUCCGUGCUUAACAUGGAAACUGCCAUUGAUACUACUGAUCUUGAAUUUGCAGGAGGUAAGCGGAAUAUGUCAUGUAGCGGUGAAAUGCUUAGAUAUGACAUAGAACACCAACUGCGAAGGCAGCUUACUGCAGGAAUAUUGACACUGAGGCACGAAAGCGUGGGGAGCAAACAGG
rnacentral:rRNA from 1 species